AGUGAGGUAGCUCAGUUGGUAGAGCACGAAAGAAAAAUGGAUCAUGUUUGUGAUCUGAACAGCAAUCUUUCAUUCCAUGCUAAGGACGUUGUCGGCGGUUCGAGUCCGUCCCUCACUCUA
rnacentral:tRNA from 1 species